rnacentral:rRNA from 1 species
CCUACGGGCGGCAGCAGUGGGGAAUAUUGGACAAUGGGGGGAACCCUGAUCCAGCGACGCCGCGUGAGUGAAGAAGUAUUUCGGUAUGUAAAGCUCUAUCAGCAGGGAAGAAAGAAAUGACGGUACCUGACUAAGAAGCCCCGGCUAACUACGUGCCAGCAGCCGCGGUAAUACGUAGGGGGCAAGCGUUAUCCGGAUUUACUGGGUGUAAAGGGAGCGUAGACGGCAGUGCAAGUCUGGAGUGAAAGGCGGGGGCUCAACCCCCGGACUGCUCUGGAAACUGUACGGCUGGAGUGCAGGAGAGGUAAGUGGAAUUCCUAGUGUAGCGGUGAAAUGCGUAGAUAUUAGGAGGAACACCAGUGGCGAAGGCGGCUUACUGGACUGUAACUGACGUUGAGGCUCGAAAGCGUGGGGAGCAAACAGGAUUAGAUACCCCUGUAGUC